rnacentral:lncRNA from 1 species
GUUUACCUCCUUUGAGCUGGGCUCAGCCUUGCGCCAGUGAACUGUGGUGCAGUUUCCUCGUCUAUAAAGCACUGAGAAGAAUGCCUGGCUACUCAGAAGACUCAGGGGAGGAUUAAGCGGCACAGUCACUGUGAAGCCUGUCUCCAGGGCCCACACCUGUUGAUACCCAGCAAGCAGUGAUGCUGAUGCUGAUGCUGAUGCUGAUGCUGAUGAAGUCAUUUUGUAGGUUAGAUGUGAAGAGCGAAAGCUUGAAGAUCAUCAACAGGCCAUUCGUUCAAGCCUGGGUGUGAGAAGCCGGAUCUGGGUGGUGGCUGUGAACAGAGAGGAAGGGACACCAGAAAGGAAGAAAGAAGGAGAAUGUACACCACCAAGAGUGAGCCCUAAUGUAAACUACGGACUUCGGGUGGUGAUGACACGACAAUGUAGGUUCAUUGAGGGUAACAAAUGCACCACUCUGGUGGGGGACGUUGACGGUGGGGAUGUUGUACACGUACAGGGCAGAUGGAAC